rnacentral:rRNA from 1 species
GUGAGGAAUUUUUCGCAAUGGGCGAAAGCCUGACGGAGCAAUGCCGCGUGAAGGAUGAAGGCCUAUGGGUUGUAAACUUCUUUUCUCAGAAAAGAAUUAUGACGGUAUCUGAGGAAUAAGCAUCGGCUAACUCUGUGCCAGCAGCCGCGGUAAGACAGAGGAUGCAAGCGUUAUCCGGAAUGAUUGGGCGUAAAGCGUCUGUAGGUUGUUUAAAAAGUAUUCUGUCAAAGAUUAGGGCUUAACCCUAGAUAGGCAGAAUAAACUUUUAAGCUAGAGUUUGGUAGAGGCAGAGGGAAUUCCCGGUGGAGCGGUGAAAUGCGUAGAUAUCGGGAGGAACACCAAAGGCGAAGGCACUCUGCUGGGCCAAUACUAACACUGAGAGACGAAAGCGAGGGGAGCAAAUGGGAUUAGAUACCCGUGUAGUCC